ACGUAGGGCGCAAGCGUUGUCCGGAAUUAUUGGGCGUAAAGAGCUCGUAGGCGGUUUGUCGCGUCUGCUGUGAAAACUCGAGGCUCAACCUCGGGCCUGCAGUGGGUACGGGCAGACUAGAGUGCGGUAGGGGAGACUGGAAUUCCUGGUGUAGCGGUGGAAUGCGCAGAUAUCAGGAGGAACACCGAUGGCGAAGGCAGGUCUCUGGGCCGCAACUGACGCUGAGGAGCGAAAGCAUGGGGAGCGAACAGG
rnacentral:rRNA from 1 species